AUUGAACGCUGGCGGCAGGCCUAACACAUGCAAGUCGAGCGGAUGAAGGGAGCUUGCUCCUGGAUUCAGCGGCGGACGGGCGAGUAAUGCCUAGGAAUCUGCCUGGUAGUGGGGGAUAACGUCCGGAAACGGGCGCUAAUACCGCAUACGUCCUGAGGGAGAAAGGGGGGGUUCUUCGGACCUCACGCUAUCAGAUGAGCCUAGGUCGGAUUAGCUAGUUGGUGGGGUAAAGGCCUACCAAGGCGACGAUCCGUAACUGGUCUGAGAGGAUGAUCAGUCACACUGGAACUGAGACACGGUCCAGACUCCUACGGGAGGCAGCAGUGGGGAAUAUUGGACAAUGGGCGAAAGCCUGAUCCAGCCAUGCCGCGUGUGUGAAGAAGGUCUUCGGAUUGUAAAGCACUUUAAGUUGGGAGGAAGGGCAGUAAGUUAAUACCUUGCUGUUUUGACGUUACCAACAGAAUAAGCACCGGCUAACUUCGUG
rnacentral:rRNA from 1 species